rnacentral:rRNA from 1 species
UGGGGAAUAUUGCACAAUGGAGGGAACUCUGAUGCAGCGACGCCGCGUGAACGAAGAAGGCUUUCGAGUCGUAAAGUUCUUUUAUAUGGGAAGAUAAUGACGGUAACAUAAGAAAAAGCCCCGGCUAACUACUUGGCAGCAGCCGCCGUCAUACGUAGGGGGCUAGCGUUGUCCGGAAUAACUGGGCGUAAAGGGUUCGCAGGCGGAAAUGCAAGUCAGGUGUAAAAGGCAGUAGCUUAACUACUGUAAGCAUUUGAAACUGCAUAUCUUGAGAAGAGUAGAGGUAAGUGGAAUUCUUAGUGUAGCGGUGAAAUGCGUAGAUAUUAAAAAGAAUACCGGUGGCGAAGGCGACUUACUGGGCUAAUUCUGACGCUGAGGAACGAAAGCGUGGGUAGCAAACAGG